UUGAAAACUGCGGUGACGUUGAACAGCCACGUGCGGCCGGUCUGCGUGGACUUCAGCGUGACGUUCGAUGACGAGCAGCUGCGGCCAGGAAACAUUGGCAAGGUAGCAGCCUGGAACCGAACUCCUUUGCUGAAGUUCAUAGAACUGCCGUAUGUGGAGGUGGAGCAAUGCUUCGCCGACCUUCCCAGGAGUUUCAUCAGCUUCAUCACCAGCGACAAGAUAUGCGCCGGCACCAGGAACAGUACCAAGCUCUGCAGCGGCGAUAGCGGCGGCGGGCUGGUCUUCCCCCGCACAGAGCACGGCACCCAACGCUGGUACCUCCGCGGCGUGGUCUCCACGGCUCCUCAAAACCCUAAUACUUAUUCCCAAGACCUCUGCGACGCUGGCUCCUACACCGCCUUCACGCAUCUGCUCAAGCAUGAUGCUUUCAUUACCAAGUUUCUGGAGGCGCGGAGGGAUUAUGUUAACCAAAUAUAUUUAGUUCCAUGAUUAUAGUUAU